AGCAGGGUGGCGCAGUGGAAGCGUGCUGGGCCCAUAACCCAGAGGUCAAUGGAUCGAAACUUUUUCUUGCUA
rnacentral:tRNA from 1 species